GGACCAGCCAACUCCCAGGGGAAGUCCUUUCGGAUUCCCGCAUGUGCCGACGUGGGUUCGAUCCCCAACUACAGCCCUAAAUGCUGGUCGCCAUCAUCAUACAAGUGCUACGAAAGUCAGCCGAGAUUUAGGAUUUUCGAAAACGACGGCAGUGGACUUAUAGGACGGGGUUUGACUCAACCGCGGGCACCGAAGCCCACACUCCCUUCAAGUUACACAAGGUCCAAGUUUUUGUCCACACUAGAAAAAAGAAAAAAGAAAAAAAAGGGGGCUACAUACACCCAAUGCGUGAGCAAGCAGAAUCACUGGUUUUGAAAUUCAAACCUGCGCGAAUCCCAGGACCCACCUGGAUGGGGUUGAAACCAUGAGUGUGAACGAAGGCUUUGUUGAGGAGACUGAAGAUUUGUUUUUCGGUAGUAGUGGAUAAUGAUGAUGCUGCUGAUGUGUUCGAAUUUUGUCCAUAAGAAAUCUGGAGAAUGUUUCCACACUGAUAUCCUUCGCUUCGUUGGGGUAGUCCAAAGACUAGAAGUGGAAAACAAACGACGAAAUCAGACAAAUCCUUAACCUAUGUUCUUAAGUGAGGCAGUUUCACUUAUGGUUUGGGUCUCCAGUCGGAUUCGGGAACCCUUUACAGCACGUUUGUUCUAUAUGUAGUAAAUGGACGUGGGUGGUGGAUCUCGGCUGCGGAUCCUGUGAUGGGAAGGAUCAACUCACAACAUGAACGAGGGGACUCAGGAGGGGCAGUAACUUGCAUCAGACGGCGAGUCCCAGCAGUGCAUCACACCUCACUCUUCGUCGACGAAGAAUCUGAGCACACAAGAAAUCUCUCCAGAUACAGGGUCUGUAGCAGUGUUGAAUUCAAUAGCGAAACCUGACAAUCGUACAAAUCUUCAAAGACUAAUAAGUUAAUUAGAUUCUGAUCAAGGGGCAUGCCAAUAAUGUGUGUAGCAGGGGAAUAAUUACAGAUGACUGGUUCACGUUGUUUUUUCGUCCGGGUUCUGUGAGGUCGUACACCUUCAAACAUGCAGCACCUUGAUUUUUGUUUUUUAAAGUUCGCAGGCAGGGUAUUGCACAAGAGCGCAAACUUAGGAGCAUCUGCAAGUCCGAUGUGGGAAUGCUGAAUCGAUCUGAGCAGCAUGCAGCUUGUAGCCCAAGCGUAUCUUGCAGGCGAGGCAACGUGCCACAGACAGUCCUGCACCCCAUGACUUCACAACUUCCGAUCAUCAGGCAGACUUGAAUUCAUCACUAUCAGUCUGCCGCACAUGGCAAGUAGGAAGACAUCGCCUCACAAUUUGUAGAGGGGAGUACCACGGCAAUUGGUGGUUCAGGUGAGCACCCAGAUGAGGACAUACCAGUGUGCACACCAUGCUAUCGGACAAGGCCAUUAAGUUGUUCGCAUCAGUCUUCUUACGCAGCGUGUACAAUAAUUGGAUUCCUUACUGGCCGGUCCGUGAAUGAUUGUACAUGAAGAGCCUGCCGGGGAGGAGGUGUGACCUCGUGCGGCGGAGGAGGGUCUCGAAUCGAUCAGGGUACAUACAGCCCAGCCCCUUUCAGACACUCUUUCAAUCAGCCUGCGUCGCGAGCACAAUCCUUGGCACUCCCCCAUAAACUCCUGGAGUCCAAUCUGAGGCUAAUCACAAGAAGUUACGGUUGCAGGGACCUCACUCAUGGAGGCUCGCUGAAAUCUGAAAGUCGCUGUCCUGACCACCGUCAGGUUCUGACCUAUGCCGUGACUAGAGCUGAUGAGAAUCCGGAGUGUGAUCUGGUGGCAGGAGCUCGUCAUGCGUAGUACUGCGGACCAGAAAGGAGAGAGAGGACAUGCACACAGUUUGGCCCUUCCUUCCUUGACCCACUCGCAGUAACUUCCGGGGAGAUAGAGUUGCCCAUGCCUUUGACGACGCCUCUUGAUAUGCAAUGGGUCUGCACUGCACUGUUUGACGAGUUGAAUGUUGCAAUCAGAGUACAAACUGCUGUCGGUAGAUUAAAGCUGGCGCUACGGUGAAUUGUGAGGACGUGACAACGGACAUGUAAGUUUGUAAGACCACAAAUGCCACACGCUUAUCGAGGUACUAGUUGAAUGGACAUCGAUCAACAACCAUGCUCCAGUAAA